AUGAAAUACGUGAAAAGGUAAAUUCUAUUAUUAUUUAUAGUGCCAUCUUAUUUAAAGUCUUCUUAUUACAUGCAGCAACUACGCAGAAGCCAUACAGCAUUAGGAAGUAAGCAGAGAGCCACAGACAAUUCUGGGUCUCCUGCAAAAGCUGUGAGUGCUGCCCUGCUGGGUAAGCAGGUUGACAGCCAGGAUCCUGGUGUUCAGAAACUCAAACAAAAGAGUGAAAUCCAGUCUCCAGGGAAAUCUCUACCUCCAUUCUGCAGGCUAUUCUGAACUCUUGAAUAGCAGCCAGACCACCUGCUUGUGAGGCAUUCAGUGGAACUGGGGACUCUUGUUGCAGAACUCACAAGAACUCCUGGGGACAUACAGUCAAAUACAUCUGAAGUCUAAUCUGCUCACCAAGAGAACCCUCCCAUAGACACAGGAGAAAGAAAACAAUUGACGAUAAUGUCCCUUGAGGGACAUAUUCGAGAGAACAGAGACAGAGGUAUCUCAAUCCACAGCUAUGCUGGUACAGCCUGACACAUGUAUCAACUCAAGAUAAUGGGGCCCAGAGACACAGAUCUGUCAUUGCAUCUACUUGGGAGCCUGAGGCAGGAGGAUUGCUUCAGCCUGUAGUUCCAAACUUGCCUCAGUUUUUACCUGCCCAUAUGGAUCUCCAACUGUUUGCUAAUGACUACAUAUUUUGUUUGUAUAUGUCCCCUCUGCGAGGCUGGAUCUUCUGAAGACCCUGCUUCCGUUCCUGCUUUGAGCUCCUGCCUUGGCUUCUCUUCAUGCUGGACUAUGCUGUGGAUUUGUGCAGUUAAUCGGGGCUCUUGUUCAAGAUGAUGUCGUGUCCAGCAUUCUUCAUUAGGAAGAUGGGCUGUUUGGAGUAUCUGAGUAAAGGUGCAUUAUGGGAAACUGGCAGGCUUAAAAGCACAAUGACCUUGGUGUAAUUCUGGGGGAUUUGCUACAAGCUUAAAAACAGAGCAGGGGUUUAAGGCUGACAACAGUAAACAUGAACUUUAAAGUUGUGUGCCCAUUGGCUACGCUUGUUUAGGCAGGUGAAGUAGAUUGUCCAAGUGUCAAUAUACGUUACUUCAGACAAGAACCAACAUGUGUUCAGCUUGUAUAGCACAUACAGACUGGCUGGGAAAUAAAUGACACAUGUCCAUGUAUCAGUUUGUAAAACAGUACCAAAGGAAAAAUGUGUGAGCCUCAGAUAUUUUCUUAAAGAGUGACUCUGGGGCGCUCAGCCCCUACUGAUGCAUCUACAAUGCAACCCCUACAUCUAAAGCUCAGAAAAUCUUGGAAGAGGAAAUGGAAUGAGUCAGAGAACAGGAAGGCCUGCUGCUUGACAGUAUUUUCUACACAACAAGAAGCUGCACACAUGGGAUCCAACAAUAUGGUCACCUAAGCAAGACAAGCACAAGGACAACUAAGUUGACAUACCAACAUAGAUGGAGAAAGCUCAUAAGUCUCCAGCUCUUGAUGAAGAGACAUGGUCAAUUUAAUGGCUGCUAAGACAGGGAGAGUCUGUCUCCUCCAGGGAUAACCCUUCUGACAUGUUAUUGAUAUCAAGGGGUCAGCUAUGGAUACAUGUACAUAUGAACAAUAAUAAAUGGACUCAG